GAACGAUUUGCUGGUGUCUGAAACGUGAGAUGUAAAGCAUUGGCAAGGGCUGGAGAGCUUUUGCAAAGCAAAAAACACUCAAAGUCAGAGAAUUGAAAGUGGACGAUAAACCAUACAAAAGUUGCGUCAGGCUGCACUUUAUUUUUCUUAGUUUCUCAAAACCCAAUUGCAAGAUUAAAAAAAAAUUUAGUUUUCUGCCAAGCAAAUGUAUUUUGUUGGAGGGAGGAAGGGCAAGGAAUUGUGUUCUUGCAGUGCACUCGUGUAACCCCAGUGCUAACAGCUGCAGUUAGACUGAAGACUCUGCUGAGCUGUUUGACCGAGAGUAACCCCGUGCACAGGAAGGAGGUGAAAGGUGAUGUCUGUGGGCCUGUCCAAACUGCCAAAGUCAGAAAAAAAACAGAACUGUUUCUAUGAGAGCAUGACCUGCAAGAUCUCACAACCUCUAUGGAGUAUCUGCUGAAGCAUUGAUCUUCUCAUUGAUUCCUUAUCUGAAGCAAUUCGUCUAAUGGAAAAUGGUGCUGUUAGAGACCUAGGCAAUAGGACCGUCCUGCUGUGAGCAACUUGGAAAGAAAAAUCAGAGGGGCAUUAAAAAAGGUUUUGUCCCGUGACUGAGUACAUGCUGCGGUGCCAUGGUUGGGCUGAUAGCAGGAGCCCAAACAACAAUUCAGACAUCCCUACCCACCUGCCUUAAUUGGAGCUAUGAGGAUGCCAAGCAGUAGGCAGAAUAACCAAGAAAUAAAUUGUGAACAUGAAGAGUGGUGCUGUAGGACGAAGUGACACAAGUCAUCUAUGUGGAGAAAGACCAGUUUAUUCAUCAACUGCCCUGCCUUUAUAAGAAAAUUGUAUUCUACAUCGUCGUAAUCAAUGCAACACAAUAACCAGACAAAUACCCUUCAAUCAAGCUGAAGCAAUCAUCAAUCUAAACAAACCAUUAACAAUGUGAAGCAUUGUUUAUUAAGAAUCAAAUGUCCAUGAAUUAGCAAAACUAUUUCAAGUACUAAUGUACUGCGGUGGAAUAUAUUGUAAUCCAUUAUCACAGGAGUCUAUUACCAGGCACUAUUGAGCAAAAGAGAUUGGUUAUUUCAAACAGAAUGGAAUUAAGCAAUCUUAGCUAAAAACAACAGAAUAUUCAUUAUGGUGUCUCUUGAUAAAAUGCUUUUUUGAAAUUCUCAUUAUAACCUUUCGCAAGAUGUAAUUAGUUGGUCAAAACUGAUCAAUUAGAUGUCGCCAAGAUGCCACUCAAAGGUCAAAAGUUGAUUUUUCAGAGCUUAUGAACUUCCAAAGUAAAAUCUUCAAAAUAUUUUUAACAAACAAUGAUAUUGAUUUAUUAUCUGUUUUGCUGUUAUACAAUCAAGUAUAUUGGGACAAUUCAUUUUCUGUCAAUCCCCUAUCUAUUCAACAGAUUCCCUUCAUCAGUUGAACAAUGUAAACAUUGACUAGCAUCAGUCUCACCUGCGGGUAUGAUCCUUCUCAUUCAAGGAAGAUUAUUACAAGAUAAAGAAGAGUAACUAACAGUGGUUGCAUUUGUAAAGUGCAUUUGAUGUUGAAAUAUGUCACAACUUCAAAGAGUUGUAAUAUUAUAAUGUGCUUAUUAAACCUUC